AAAAUUAUGGCUCCGCCCACGCUGCCAGUCGCCGAAACUCCAGUCCUACGUUGCCGAGCUGGGCAACUUACGUUUACUGACGCGAUGCAGCUGAUUUCAUGCCCUUUCACCCAAAUCCAAUUGCCCACGGGAAUUUUCACCCUAAGUUUUUUUACCCAUAGACAGUAAGCCCAAGUAAUUUCACCCGUGAGAUGUUUAAUCCUAUGGUAUAUUGAAACAAUUUACUUGACUAGAAAUUACUGAGGUAGACAUACGCCUCUUCGUUUCCAUGACUACAAGCAUUUUUUUUUCAUUUAGUCCAAAAUUCAUAGAGUGAUAUUAAGUAGGUUAUUUAUUUGCGCUUUUAAUACAACAAAAUUACCCAGUGUCAGUUUUCUUUUUCUUUGUUUUAUACUAUCCUUAAAUUUAUCAGUGUUGUGCAUCUUUCUUCAUUUUUUUCUUCCUUUCAAAAUGGCAGAAUUAAUUAAUAGCAAUAGAAACAAGAAGAUACUAUCCUUUGAAGGUUAUCUAUAUCACAAACAUUCCUCAAAUUCUAAUCGAACACGAACGUACUGGGUGUGUAACAAAAAACCGGAGUGUUCCGUCAGAGCUGUAACCAUCAAUGAGCCUUUGCAAGUGAUUAAGGUAGGAAAACACGAUCAUCCCCCUAACCAAGAUGAAGUUGUAGCAAAGAGGAUUUACGCCGAGUUGAAGGAAGAAGCAGCAGUUCAUCCGGAAGCAAAACCUAGCCUGUUGAUCAGGGAGAAAUUAGGUGAGGUUGACUCACUUGUCCUUCCUCUACUACCAGAGAGCAUGGAAGAAUUGGCAAAAUAUUUUGACAGAACUUACGUCAAUGGAUCAAGAGAGCGCGUUCGGCGCCGAUACAGGGUGCAACCUCCGAGGUACAGUCCAGUUCUGUGGAACCAUUAUCAAUCAGUUUUACAUGACGGGCCACGUACGAAUAACGCAACAGAAGGUUGGCAUAAUAGAUUCCAAAGUUUAGUAGGAUAAAACCAUCCAUCCAUUUAUUAUUUACUUCGGCAGUUCUUGAAAGAGCAGGUGGACACGGAGAAACAGAUAAUAGAAAUUCAAGCUGGACGGAAGGUGAGAAAACCAAGGGAGGCAAAGUACGAGCGACUUAACAUCAGGCUGAGAACGAUUGUCUCCCGUUAUGAAGAGCACAAAACAGAACGUACAGAGCUGGAUUACUUGAGAGCAAUAGGCCACAACAUUGCCUAAUCAUCGUGAGUCACCUAAAUUGCCUGAUAAUUCAAAUAAUCUAAUAAAUACAGAUUUUCAUUCAUGGGUGAAAUUUGGAUGAAAAUGCUGGGUGAAAAUUCUUUGGGAAAAAUUUUUUCGGUGAAUUUGGAUGAAGGGGCAAUGGGGAAACUGGCUUUGGAUCUUUUGACUUUUGGGGGAAAAGGUUUGGGUGAAAGGGCUCCAAACCGAUGCAGCUUCACAUACAGACAUACACGUUUUUAUAGUAAGGAU
rnacentral:lncRNA from 1 species